UACGUAGGGGGCAAGCGUUAUCCGGAUUUACUGGGUGUAAAGGGAGCGUAGACGGCGAUGCAAGCCUGGAGUGAAAGGCGGGGGCUCAACCCCCGGACUGCUUUGGGAACUGCAUGGCUGGAGUGUCGGAGAGGCAGGCGGAAUUCCUAGUGUAGCGGUGAAAUGCGUAGAUAUUAGGAGGAACACCAGUGGCGAAGGCGGCUUACUGGACUGUAACUGACGUUGAGGCUCGAAAGCGUGGGGAGCAAACAGG
rnacentral:rRNA from 1 species